GAGAGAGCAUCCACCACGCUGCACCGGUGCACCACGGGGUGCGCAUUCAAACUGACCAGCGCGUCUCUCUCGCCGUGCAGACUCCGUCCCUCUCUCCACAUCCGUCACUGAGCAACUUGACUGCGGCUGUCAGCAGGAGCCGGUGCAGAGGAGUUGUAAAGAAUAAAAAGACGAGGGAGGAGUCGAUGAUCUCUCCUCAGCUCACUGUGAUUGUGAGCUCUGUGAGGGUUUGAGCCUGUCAGGAAGCCUUUGCUGCAGCCCCCCUUCAGGUUUGGUACAAUCCACCCACAGUUCUAAAGCAAAAACAGCAAUUAGCUAAAGUUCCGGACCUGACUCCACCCACUCUGCUCUGGGUCCCCUGUGCCAUGGCCUUCACCCUGUCAGAGAUUAUGGCGGCGAGGCGGCAGCAGUCGCAGGCUCAGUCGCACGCCCAGCGAGGCAACAGGACCACGGUGGAGGUGGACGAGUACAGCACCAACCCCACUCAGGCCUUCACCUUCUACAACAUCAACCAGGGACGCUUCCAGCCACCACACGUCCACAUGGUGGACCCAAUGGCCCACGACACCCCUAAGCCACCAGGCUACACCCGAUUUGUGUGCAUCUCAGACACUCACUCUCGGACUGACAGCAUCCAAAUGCCAUAUGGAGAUGUGUUCAUCCACGCCGGAGACUUCACCGAGCUGGGACUACCGUCCGAGGUCAAGAAGUUUAACGACUGGCUAGGUACCCUGCCCUACGACAUCAAGAUAGUAAUUGCUGGAAACCAUGAGUUGACCUUUGACCAAGAGUUUAUGGCUGACCUGAUCAAGCAGGACUUCUACUACUUCCCCUCAGCCUCCAAGCUGAAGCCGGAGAAUUAUGAGAAUGUCCAGUCGCUGCUCACUAACUGCAUCUACCUGCAGGAUUCUGAGGUCACGGUCAGGGGCUUCAGGAUCUACGGCUCCCCCUGGCAGCCAUGGUAUUAUGGUUGGGGUUUCAACCUACCAAGGGGUCAGGCUCUGCUGGACAAGUGGAAUCAGAUCCCCGAAAACACGGACAUCCUGGUCACACACUGCCCCCCACUGGGUUUCUUGGACUGGGUUCCGAAGAAGAUGCAGCGUGUCGGGUGCAUGGAGCUGCUCAACACGGUCCAGAGGAGAGUCCAGCCCAAAUUACAUGUGUUUGGACACAUCCAUGAAGGUUAUGGCAUGAUGACAGAUGGAACCACAACAUUUGUCAAUGCCUCAGCAUGCACCGUCAACUUCCUGCCCAUGAACCCACCCAUUGUCUUUGACCUCCCCAACCCCAGGACCACAUGACUAGAGGAAGCUCAGCCGAAAACCCUCACAGCCAAUCAGGAAAAAGGAGCAGGCAAAAGUAGAUACUCAGAAGAGACACGCUGAUGUCGCUGUUGGCCUUCAUAACUUCAAAUUAAACUGAAAGCAUUUGGACUUUCAGUGAAACAACCCAAUGCCUUGUUAACUGGAGAGUUUCGGUAGCAUGGACUCAGUAACGGGACAUUUGCCAGGGGGAGCUUCACUUUUUUUUGGUACUUUUUCGCCCUUCCUUCUUGUAAAUAUUCAUUUCCCCUAUUUUUCUUGGCUUCCUCAUAGCGGGAAUGUGAUUUUUGCCACUGUGCGUGUAUAUGUGAGAUCAAAGCGAGUGUUUGAGGGCAGCGGAAGGUCUCUGCCACAGGCUGUGUGAGAGUCAGGGUGUCAAACAUGUUGACAUCGCUCUCACGGGCCUCAUUACAGCCAGGGUUGCCAGGUCCCACAGAAUUAGGCUACCUUUAAAGAGUUGUGGGUUGGUUAUUUCUUCAGAAGGUUGGUUAGACCUGUUAUGCAUGCAAAGUACAUGAAUAAUAUCUAUAAAUAAAAUCCAUAUUUUAUAUGAAAUAAUUUAUUUAUACCCAAAUCCGACCAAACUGACUCCCUGAUUACAGCCCCUCCGUAAGCCUCUUAACCCACUGAAGAGAGGACGUAGAGGAAGCAACUCACAACCCCUUAUGUGGCGUCCCUUUUGCAUUUUCUCAUCUAUCUUGUUUUAUUUUCUUCCUCUCCCUCCUUCAUUUUGUGAAUAACUAGUUCUGCUUUUUAGUCACGACAGGUCGGGCAUUUUGGACUUGAAAAGGACAGCAGGUAAAAAGGUGCUACAUGCUCACCCAGCAUCUGAACAGAGAUGAUUGAUUUUAACUGUUACAUCUCUGUGUUGUAACAAGUUUUUUUUAUCCUUAUUAAAGAUAAGCUGAUAAAUUUGUAACUAAAUGUACUGUAACUGGUCUAUGUAAAUGUUCUCUGUCAAUACAAAAAAUGUUUUUUUUCUGUAAGAUUUCCAAGUUGUUGCACUGCUUUUCAAAAUACUUAAGUAUUUGUGUCCAGAGAUGUGUGGUUGUUUCUUUUCAUUCAGUCUAUUUCUUAGUAAUGUAAAUGUUCAUUUUGGUACGGUCUUCUCCGUGCCAAUUCUGUGAUUGUUAACUCUCAUGUCAAUAAGCAGUUUCUUUUCUCUUUCUUUGUAUUCCGUUUUCUGUAUUUGGCCAUUCCAACUGAGUCUGAAUGUGCACAACACAUCGCACUUUGAUCCCUCGUCAUUAUGUCCAAAGGUUCCUUGGAGCUACAGUUUACUCAUGAUUCACUGUCUCUUCUUCAGCACAGCAGCCUUCAUUCUUUCAUUCAUUCAUUUUUACAGUCCCAAAAGAUGCAAAAGGAGGAAGAGCACCCAUUUCUGUAGGCACUUGUUAGACCAAGCACAUUUACACCUGAGUGUACAAGAACCAGUUUUAGGACAUAUUUUUGGUUAAGGUUAGAAAUGGGAUUAGUUUUGGGUUUGUAGCCCAGAGCACUGCAAGAAUACACAAGCAAAUUCAUAAAACAUACUCAACAACUUGAUAACACACAUGUCUGGUGAUUCAUUUGUACAUCAGCAGGGCAUGGAGGGAUUCAUUUCACUCAUCAGCACCACAGUUCCUGGGGAAUAUUAGACACUAGCGAGGAGUUCAGACACCAUGUAGUAUAGUAUGACCUGCUUCAAUUAAGGUUGUUGUUAGAUCAGUAGCACAGUUGCAGAAUCAUGCCCACAACCCACAGGCAUCUUUUUUACUUUGUACACUCCAGCAUGGAAGUAUCAGAGCAAACUGGUUUGGCAUCCAAAUAUUAAAAUAAAUCCAAAUACAUCUUCAUCGUGAUAAAUUAGCACUCUGUUACAAAGUCAGCUGAGGCCAUUCAAACCCUUCAGUUGAAAUUGAGUAGUGACUGAGCUUCGACGAUUAGUUGAUCAGCAGAAAACAAAUGUUUUGUCAUUGAAUAAUCAUUAUUAAAAUCGUUUUCUGAGCAUUUAUAAAACUUCUGGCUGUUGGUCGAGCAAAAUAUGUUUGGGGACAUCUGGACCGAUAAGUGUAAAAAUGUUAUAUGCUGUCAAUAAUGUUGCUAUUAUUGAAUUACAUCUUUAAGUUAUAGUUAUAAGUUACCAGGCAGUUAUGCAUUGAUAUUUCAAUGAUAUCUCAUGGUUAAUCAUAACUUCACCCUUUUGUUUUUGCUCUGUAACAAUUCAGACUUUACUUGAGUUAAAAAAAAACAUUUUAAAUUCUAUACUACUACAGUAUGAUUUUUUUUCAAUGAAACUCAAAUUUAAGAGCACAUUUAAAUUCUUAAAUUAACACUGCAUUAACUGUUUUUUCAAGACUAAUGGUUCUUUGUUGAUGCUGGCACAGAAAUGUAUUACAAUCCUCUUCAAAGGAGCAGAGUGUAAGGCAUGAGCUCUGGAGAUUUUAGAUCAGGGUUAUAAAUAAUAGUUUCGAUGUGGCCAGUGGAAAGUCUCUACAUGCACAAUAUUCAGGGUGUGUUAGUCUCUGUGAGAGUAUUUCAUACAGAGUGUAAAAAGAAAGGGAGUGCUCAGCCUCAUCAUUUAAACACCAAUUUAAUUAGUUUCUAUGAAGAAAAUGUUCCAAGACAAGAAUAAAGGGAACUAUAAAAGAGCAAAAGAUGGAGGGAACUUUCAUCUUUAAGUUUAAUAAAAAGCUGAAUUUAGUCUGAUUUAUCACUUCCCUUCCUCAUUUAAAUGUCCCUCACUUUGAUGCUCCUCUGCUUUAGUAGCUGUGUUGUGUUUCCUGUUUUUCCAAGAAAAUAAAGUGUGUACAAUUUCUGGAUUUAUUUUGAGGCAUGCUUAAAAGAGUUAAUGACUUCUGCUACUCAGACAAUCUGCAUAUGAAGAGUUUUAUUCCAAAAUGAGAUAUCCACCAUUUGAAAACAAAUGAUGCCCACACAGGCAGAGUGACUGACAAGUAAACGGUGGACUGUAGGGGUACUUUUAAAAGAACUAUAAGUGACUUGUGUCCUAGCUGACAUUUUUACUUUCUACUUUAACAUUAUGGGAUAGUUAUUAAUGUCAGAUCUUUUUUUAAUUGAUGUAUAACAUUUUGGAACGAAAGUGUUCAUAUGGUAUUGUAUUUUGCCAUCGUUGUUGGGGACUUUCCCAUUUUUUUAACUGUAAAAUAUUACUAAAAACAGGGGAGGAAGACCCAGCGGCUGCAACAUUUUACAGUGUUGCU